rnacentral:rRNA from 1 species
UGGACGAAAGUCUGACGGAGCAACGCCGCGUGAGUGAAGAAGGUUUUCGGAUCGUAAAACUCUGUUUUCAGGGACGAAUGUGCGAUAUGUGAAUAAUGUGUUGUAAUGACGGUACCUGACAAGAAAGCCACGGCUAACUACGUGCCAGCAGCCGCGGUAAUACGUAGGUGGCAAGCGUUGUCCGGAAUUAUUGGGCGUAAAGCGCGCGCAGGUGGGAUAAUAAGUCUGAUGUUAAAGUUCGGGGCUCAACCCCGUGAAGCAUUUGGAUACUGUUAUUCUUGAGUGCAGGAGGGGAAAGUGGAAUUCCUAGUGUAGCGGUGAAAUGCGUAGAUAUUAGGAGGAACACCAGUGGCGAAGGCGACUUUCUGGACUGUGUCUGACACUGAGGCGCGAAAGCCAGGGUAGUGAACGGGAUUAGAUACCCCGGUAAUCCUGGCCGUAAACGAUGGGUACUAGGUGUUGGGGGUAUCGACCCCUCCAGUGCCGGAGUUAACGCAAUAAGUACCCCGCCUGGGGAGU